GGGGGCAAUGGUGCUGGGCGCCCCGCGGGCUUCAAACCCGCCGGCUCUGUCUGAAAAACGGAGAGGAGGUUCGAUUCCCCUUGCCCCC
rnacentral:tRNA from 1 species